ACCACUGAACAAGAUAUGAAAACUGCGGCCAGCCCUAUCUAGGCACUGCCAUGUCAUGCAGGAGAAGUUUGCCUUCGAGAAUACGUUGCUCUUGAUGUUGUUUGUGAAGCAAAACCUCAAUGCUCAGCUCCUGUUAUUGACCUUGUUCUUUUCAUAAUAAUCUUUCUCUCUUUCUUGCCUUCUUUCCUUCUUAUCUUGGAACCCAUCAGAUCAUCCUAUGUUCAGUUGUCUCAGAAUUAGGGGAGCUUUCUGCCAAUAUGGGCCAUGCCCUCAAAAUUACAUAAACCUCGGGCGAUGUGGCUCGUCGAAGACAUGUUGUAAACGUCCCAUAAACAGUUAUUUUAGCUGUUUAUUCAUUCAUGGCAAGUGCUUGCUGUGGCAUUGCGUUCCUCCUUUUGUUCCUGAUGGGAGAUGUGGAAGAGCUAGUCCAUGCUGUGUGCGCCCACUAGAAGAUCUGAACACUUGCAUAUUCUCUAAUCAAGGCGUUUGCGCCACAUGGCGGUGUCCUUAUCCUUUAAUCGCCCAGGGAAUAUGUGAUGCGGGAUAUCCGUGCUGUGUCAGCCCCAAGGAAUCCUAGGGUUCAUGCCCACUUCGUCCAUGGCUUGAAGUGAAUAUGAAGCAUUUCACUUUAACCUCAGAGGCACUUCAGCAAUAAAAGACACAUCCAGAAUUUGAAAUAAAUGGCU
rnacentral:lncRNA from 1 species